rnacentral:sRNA from 1 species
UUCCACACAUGAUUAACUAAGUACUGCACCUAGACUUACCAAGUAUUCUACAACAUCAAGAUGUCCAUUUCGAGAAGCCCAUCUAACUGCACAAUCGUUAUCAGCUCUAAUAUUUGCACCUAGACUUACUAGAUAUUUGACGACUUCAAGAUGCCCAUUUCGAGAAGCAAAUCUAACUGCACAAUCGUUAUCUGCUCUAAUAUUAGCACCUUGACUUACCAGAUAUUUGACAACUUCAAUGUAUACUUUUAUGGAAGUCGGUCUAACUACAUAAUUAUUGUCGACACUGAUAUUUGUGCCUUUACUUACCAAAAUUAAUUU